GCGCCUAACACAUGCAAGUCGAACGAGAAAGGGAGCAAUCCCUGAGUACAGUGGCGUACGGGUGAGUAACACGUGGGUGAUCUGCCCUUUGGUGGGGAAUAACCCUGGGAAACCGGGGAUAAUACCGCAUAAGUCCGAGAGGAGAAAGCAGCAAUGCGCCGAAGGAGGAGCCCGCGGCCGAUUAGCUAGUUGGUAGGGUAAAAGCCUACCAAGGCGAAGAUCGGUAGCCGGCCUGAGAGGGCACACGGCCACACUGGCACUGAAACACGGGCCAG
rnacentral:rRNA from 1 species